rnacentral:rRNA from 1 species
CGCGGGGGGCCUACGGGAGGCAGCAGUGGGGAAUAUUGCACAAUGGGCGCAAGCCUGAUGCAGCCAUGCCGCGUGUAUGAAGAAGGCCUUCGGGUUGUAAAGUACUUUCAGCGGGGAGGAAGGGAGUAAAGUUAAUACCUUUGCUCAUUGACGUUACCCGCAGAAGAAGCACCGGCUAACUCCGUGCCAGCAGCCGCGGUAAUA